UUUUUCCAAGAUUCAACACAAAGUUUUAAGAAUAUUUUAUUUAAUAUAUCUCCAAUAACAUGAUCAUUAUAGAUAUGCUUAAGAUUCAUUUCAUCUUGCUUGAAUACAAUAAUCAUGUUCGCAUUAUCACGAAUUAGGUGUUUAGGAGUUUUUGUAUAAGUUUGAAGAUUUAUUCCGUUUAUCGGAUCAAUAAGCCAUUUAAGAUAGAUGUAUUUCGGUUGAUAAAAUGAUUUUAAAUAAAUGAAUAUAUUUCGGAAAUUAAGUCCGUUUGGGUUUUCAAUUACUGAGCAUAACAUUAGUUUUUCCUCAAUUUGAUGGUCCCACAAUUAGCGCUUGUAUGGAAUUUGGUAAAAGUGGACUAUGCCUAGUAACAUUUUUAACAUUUAUAUAAUUGUCUGCAUUAUUUACCUUAAGUUGGAGAUGUUGUUUAACUACUUUCAUUUUAUUUACUAGAUUUAUAGCAAUAUAAAGAGGAGAUAAGGGUAUAAAUGCUUUAGAUACGGCCUGCAGUCAACAUGAUAUUGCAUAUUCUCAAGCAAAAGAUAUAAAUACCAGACACCAAGCUGAUAAAGUUUCAUCUGAGAAAGCCUGGCAGCGUGCUGCAUCUAAGGACCCUGAUUUCAAAGAACGAGCAAACGCUUGGCUCUUACAAAUGCUAUGAAAGCAAAUCUCAAAUUGGGAAUGGGCAUUUAAAAUAAGAAAAGAAAUGUAUCUAAAUGCAAAAAACGUAGAAAGAUGAAAAACGGAAUAGUAUCAUCUAACAACAUUUUUUUGAUGACAGUUAAAAAAGGUAUAAACAUUCUUAACAAAACGAAACCGCGGUCAUUCAAUGAGGCUUAUAAAAUUUCUCAAGAUGUUGUAAAGUCUAGCUUUAAAAAUAAAAAAAUAACAUACAAAGAAUAAUUCCGGUUCCGAAAAUUGGUGGAAUUUCACCACUGCUUCCUAUUUUAAAGGCGUUUGGUGCACUUGGUGGUAUAGCAUCUGGAGGAUCAGCUAUAGCAAAAGUUUUGAAUGACGUUAGGAAUGGAAAGGAGCGAUUGGCUGAGGCUAGCCGCCAUAAUGGAUAUAUGGAACCAAUCGCUAUGGGGGAAUUUUUAUGCGAAAUUCUUUACCGAAUAAACCGAAAUCUCAAGAAUGUGAAAUUCUUAAUUUAGAUGAUGCUGAUGGUCCUGGUACUCAUUGGCCACCGGUAUAACUGAUUAAUUACCUGAAGCCACCAAUAUAUUACAAUUAUGAACAGAAACUAAAAUAUAACACAGUAAUAUGUGGUCAAUUAUGUUUAAAAUUUUUAUUCAAUAAAAGAUA